rnacentral:ncRNA from 1 species
AGUAAACUUUAGGAGUAGCUAGUUCGCUAGUUUGAGAAAGAUCCUUUGAACCUGAUAUGGUUAACACCAGCGUAGGGAAAAGUUAUAAAAUCUUA